rnacentral:rRNA from 1 species
AUUGAACGCUGGCGGCAGGCUUAACACAUGCAAGUCGAGCGGAGAUGAGGUGCUUGCACCUUAUCUUAGCGGCGGACGGGUGAGUAAUGCCUAGGAAUCUGCCUAUUAGUGGGGGACAACAUUCCGAAAGGAAUGCUAAUACCGCAUACGCCCUACGGGGGAAAGCAGGGGAUCUUCGGACCUUGCGCUAAUAGAUGAGCCUAAGUCGGAUUAGCUAGUUGGUGGGGUAAAGGCCUACCAAGGCGACGAUCUGUAGCGGGUCUGAGAGGAUGAUCCGCCACACUGGGACUGAGACACGGCCCAGACUCCUACGGGAGGCAGCAGUGGGGAAUAUUGGACAAUGGGCGGAAGCCUGAUCUAGCCAUGCUGCGUGUGUGAAGAAGGCCUUUUGGUUGUAAAGCACUUUAAGCGAGGAGGAGGCUACCUGGAUUAAUACUCUAGGAUAGUGGACGUUACUCGCAGAAUAAGCACCGGCUAACUCUGUGCCAGCCGCCGCCGUAACAC